rnacentral:rRNA from 1 species
UACGAAGGGGGCUAGCGUUGCUCGGAAUCACUGGGCGUAAAGCGCACGUAGGCGGACUCUUAAGUCGGUGGUGAAAUCCUGAAGCUCAACUUCAGAACUGCCUUCGAUACUGGGGACCUUGAGUUCGGGAGAGGUGAGUGGAACUGCGAGUGUAGAGGUGAAAUUCGUAGAUAUUCGCAAGAACACCAGUGGCGAAGGCGGCUCACUGGCCCGAUACUGACGCUGAGGUGCGAAAGCGUGGGGAGCAAACAGG